CUGAAACUCGCCUGCAUGAAGUCGGAAUUGCUAGUAAUCGCAGAUCAGCAUGCUGCGGUGAAUACGUUCCCGGGCCUUGUACACACCGCCCGUCACACCAUGGGAGUCGGUAACACCCGAAGCCUGUAGUCUAACCGCAAGGAGGACGCAGUCGAAGGUGGGAUUGAUGACUGGGGUGAAGUCGUAACAAGGUAUC
rnacentral:rRNA from 1 species